UGGGGAAUAUUGCACAAUGGAGGGAACUCUGAUGCAGCGACGCCGCGUGAACGAAGAAGGCUUUCGAGUCGUAAAGUUCUUUUAUAUGGGAAGAUAAUGACGGUACCAUAAGAAAAAGCCCCGGCUAACUACGUGCCAGCAUCCGCGGUAAUACGUUGGGGGCUAGCGUUGUACGGAAUCACUGGGCGUAAAGGGUUCGCAGGCGGAAAUGCAAGUCAGGUGUAAAAGGCAGUAGCUUAACUACUGUAAGCAUUUGAAACUGCAUAUCUUGAGAAGAGUAGAGCUACGUGAAAUUUUUAGUGUAGCGGUGAAAUGCGUAGAUAUUAAAAAGAAUACCGGUGGCGAAGGCGACUUACUGAGCUCAUUCUGACGCUGAGGAACGAAAGCGUGGGUAGCAAACAGG
rnacentral:rRNA from 1 species